GACGAACCGUGCGAACGUUGUUCGGAUUCACUGGGCUUAAAGGGUGCGUAGGCGGCGCGGUAAGUCGGGUGAUGAAAUCUCGGAGCUUAACUCCGAAACUGCAUUCGAUACUGCCGUGCUUUGGAGGACUGGAGAGGAGACUGGAAUUUACGGUGUAGCGGUGAAAUGCGUAGAUAUCGUAAGGAAGACCGAGUGGACGGAAG
rnacentral:rRNA from 1 species